rnacentral:tRNA from 1 species
GAGCCACUGGCUCAGGAGGGCCGAUGCGCUGCCGGCGCCUCUCAGGAUUGGAGGUUCUUCUUCAGGUUCAGCACCCGCGUGGCCGAC